AGCAGCCGCGGUAAUUCCAGCUCCAAUAGCGUAUAUUAAAGUUGUUGCAGUUAAAAAGCUCGUAGUUGAAUUUCGGGAUCAAUACGUCGGUCGUGCUUUCGGGUACGUACUGGCGUCAUUGGUUUCUCCUUUCUGACGAACCAUGAUGUCAUUAAUUUGGUGUUAUGGGGAGUUAGGACUGUUACUUUGAAAAAAUUAGAGUGUUUAAAGCAGGCAUUAGCUUGAAUACAUUAGCAUGGAAUAAUGAAAUAGGACGUUCGAUCCUAUUUUGUUGGUUUCUAGGAUCAACGUAAUGAUUAAUAGGGAUAGUUGGGGGCAUUAGUAUUCAAUUGUCAGAGGUGAAAUUCUUGGAUUUAUUGAAGACUAACUACUGCGAAAGCAUUUGCCAAGGAUGUUUUCAUUAAUCAAGAACGAAAGUUAGGGGAUCGAAGACGAUCAGAUACCGUCGUAGUCUUAACCAUAAACUAUGCCGACUAGGGAUCGGAUGAUGUUAAUUUUUAAUGUACUCAUUCGGUCGCCU
rnacentral:rRNA from 1 species